rnacentral:lncRNA from 1 species
UCAAAGAAACAAUAAGAAAUCUUAAAGAAAUAUUAGAAUGAUCACAAAUAUCUCUCAAAUACAUCUCAAUUCAAUCUUAAUUUAAUUCUAGUUAAAAUCCUAUUGGACCUCAUUCAAACUUUAGGCCAAAAUUAAUUAAAUCUUAAACCCUAAUAAAAUCCUAAAUCCUAAAUCAAACCCUAAAUCCUAAACCAAAUCCUAAACAAACCUUAAACCAAAUUCCAACCAAAUUCUAAACCAAAUCCUAACCAAAUCCUAAACCAAAUCCUAAAUCCUAAACCAAAUCCUAAAUCCUAAACCUUAAAUCAAACCCUAAAUCCUAAAUGAAAUCCUAAUCAAAUUCUAAACCAAACCCUAAAUCCUAAAUCAAACCUUAACCAAACUCUAAUCCAAAUCCUAAUCCUAAAUCAAAUCUUAACCAAAAUCUAAACCAAAUCCUA